GCCAUCCCAGUCCCUCUGACCUCCAGAAUCUUGGGGCUUCCCUGGCGACCCAAAGUGCCCAGGAUAAGGCCCCAGAAUUUAGCUGAGCGGGCGGUGGCUAUGGCUUCUUGGCGAUUGGCCUGCAUAUGCUGAUGGUCAUACUGCUCUCUGGACAGAACUUUGCUGUAUGGGUCAUAUCUGGAAAAGAAGCAUCUGUCAGGAUCGUGGUGACAGCCACUUAAGAGACAUGCUGCACACCCAGCUCUGACUCAGCCUUUGGUCUCCUGAAUCUUCAGACUACAUGCAGGGUAUAGCUUUCUGGUAUACAGAGCAACGGAGAGGGGGUCAGGAAACCUGAAAUCAUAUCUGUCCUCAUUCUGCAGGAUGACCUUGAACACACAGUCAGGGGCCCAGCCUGCUCUACCACCA